UCUAUCUGGACGGCCAAUCGAGCGCCGCGGAUGCUCCUUUGUCCCACCUUCAGCUCCGGGACGGACAGGAUGAACUAGGACAGAGAUUGCGAGCCAGGGCGUCUCGUCCAACAUCAGUGUCGGACCUCACAGACGCUCUUUAAAAGUGAUGUGGUUGUGAACAGUCUCCCAGUGUAGAUCUCCUUCUCUGUCCGACAUCCAGUCACACACUCCGUGAUCGAAGG